rnacentral:rRNA from 1 species
UACGAAGGGGGCUAGCGUUGCUCGGAAUCACUGGGCGUAAAGCGCACGUAGGCGGAUUUCUAAGUCAGGGGUGAAAUCCUGGAGCUCAACUCCAGAACUGCCUUUGAUACUGGGAAUCUCGAGUCCGGGAGAGGUGAGUGGAACUGCGAGUGUAGAGGUGAAAUUCGUAGAUAUUCGCAAGAACACCAGUGGCGAAGGCGGCUCACUGGCCCGGUACUGACGCUGAGGUGCGAAAGCGUGGGGAGGCAAACAGG